CAGCCGCCACGGUAAAACGGAGGGUGCAAGCGUUAUCCGGAUUCACUGGGUUUAAAGGGUGCGUAGGCGGAUCUGUAAGUCAGUGGUGAAAGCCUGUCGCUUAACGAUAGAACUGCCAUUGAUACUGUAAGUCUUGAGUAUAUUUGAGGUAGCUGGAAUAAGUAGUGUAGCGGUGAAAUGCAUAGAUAUUACUUAGAACACCAAUUGCGAAGGCAGGUUACCAAGAUAUAACUGACGCUGAGGGACGAAAGCGUGGGUAGCGAACAGGAUUAGAUACCCGGGUAGUCCCUGUCUCUUAUAC
rnacentral:rRNA from 1 species